UACGGAAGGCAGCAGUGGGGAAUAUUGCACAAUGGGCGAAAGCCUGAUGCAGCUAUGCCGCGCGUAUGAAGAAGGCCUUAGGGUUGUAAAGUACUUUCAGCAGGGAGGAAGAAAUAAAACUAAUAAUUUUAUUUUGUGACGUUACCUGAAGAAGAAGCACCGGCUAACUCCGUGCCAGCAGCCGCGGUAAUACGGAGGGUGCAAGCGUUAAUCAGAAUUACUGGGCGUAAAGAGCGCGUAGGUGGUUUUUUUAAGUCAGAUGUGAAAUCCCUAGGCUUAACCUAGGAACUGCAUUUUGAAACUGAAAAACUAGAGUAUCGUAGAGGGAGGUAGAAUUCUAGGUGUAGCGGUGAAAUGCGUAGAUAUCUGGAGGAAUACCUGUGGCGAAAGCGGCCUCCUAAACGAAUACUGACACUGAGGUGCGAAAGCGUGGGGAGCAAACAGGGAUUAGAUACC
rnacentral:rRNA from 1 species